UUGCUAUAAUGAGAUUGAUCCUAUUAGUGCUAAAGACAAAGUGGAGCAUGUGAAGAGUAAGUUAUACAAGCUUUUUGAGGUUUAUGACCAAAAUUCCUCUACAACUGUAGAGAGUUCUUCCCAACUUUCAAGUAAUUUUUUUCAAGCAACAUCUUCUGUAAUUGGAACUCAGCUUAUUAAAAUUGUUGGUGAUUUGAUGUCCCGUAAUCAAGAAGCUGAAGUGAAAAGUGGAAAGAACCAACUGGAUAUUUAUUUGAGUGAGGCAACAUUAUUUUGCAAUGA